rnacentral:rRNA from 1 species
AACGAACGCUGGCGGCAGGCCUAACACAUGCAAGUCGAGCGAGGACUUCGGUUCUAGCGGCGGACGGGUGAGUAACGCGUGGGAAUGUGCCCUUCUCUACGGAAUAGCCCUGGGAAACUGGGAGUAAUACCGUAUACGCCCUUUUGGGGAAAGAUUUAUCGGAGAAGGAUCAGCCCGCGUUGGAUUAGGUAGUUGGUGGGGUAAUGGCCUACCAAGCCGACGAUCAAUAGCUGGUUUGAGAGGAUGAUCAGCCACACUGGGACUGAGACACGGCCCAGACUCCUACGGGAGGCAGCAGUGGGGAAUCUUAGACAAUGGGGGCAACCCUGAUCUAGCCAUGCCGCGUGAGUGAUGAAGGCCUUAGGGUUGUAAAGCUCUUUCAGCUGGGAAGAUAAUGACGGUACCAGCAGAAGAAGCCCCGGCUAACUCCGUG